AAGCCUCAGCCACUCAAUCUAGUCCCCAUUGCAUCGCUUUCUUUCUAUCCCAGCACGGAGCAGUGGUGCCGCAUCGCCUGCGCCGCCGCAAGCGCGCAUCCACCGCCUGCUGAUGCGAGAGCCCAUCUCCUACUACAGCGAGCAGCUCCUCCUCUACUUCUCUAACUGUUGUUUGCCGCCGCGCGUAGAUGGAGUUCAUCGCUUCACGCUCCCGCUGACUAGCGGUGAUGCGUGGGCGGCUGGCCGUGCCUCCUCACUGGGGAGGAUAGCAACAUCGCUGAUGCUACAACCACCGCCCAUGGUGCUGGAGAGGACGACAUGGGGCGCUGCAACCUGCAAUCGCUGGUGCCGGGCGCGCGCCCGGUGUUGGGAUGCUACCACCGGCACCCCGCGGUGUUGGAACCAUCGACAAAAAAGUUGCAACCCACAAUCGUCGAUGCUGGAAGACCAAUGCGGCACCAGGUGUUUGGGAUGCUACAACCGGCACUUGGCGGUGCUGGAACCGUCGACAUGGGAAGCUGCCACCGACAAUCACCAGUGCUAGAAGAAGGCGGCGAGGUCUAAUCGGUUCUGAAACAAACAACAAUUGAGUCAUUUUUGCUGGAACCCUUUACAUGGUGCUGCAAGCCGACUAAAGUGGCGAGCUGGAGGCGGUGAUAAUGGGAUGUUGCAACCAAGGUCACGGGGACCGGCCGGUGGAGAGCUAGAGUCGAAGUUGGGAACCAACCGAAGCCUGUGCUGCAAUCUCGCUGCCGACGACGGUGAGAGCUGAGAACGGGCGACGGCCGCAGCACGAGCGACCGACGAGCUCGAGUGGCCGAAAAACAUGGGAAGCAGAGGACGAGUCCAAGGGGCCGACGAGGUAGUUUCCAUCGUGUUUGACUAUUUUUCGGGCUGUUUAGCGAUUCAUCUGGACGUUUUAAGGCUCUGUAUCCUACGAUCGCACGACGACCGGACUAAAUUUGGGCCGGUCGACCGGUGCCUAUCAUCACCCAAGUUCAAAACAAUGAUAUCUUAUUGUAGACAAGGGUGCAUAUUGGAAUGACAAACAAUAUUUUUAGAGGGA